AUCACUAAUUCUAAAAGCCAUAGUGCUUCAUGCUACCUAGAGUAUGCAAAAGUCAAUUGAGUUGAGUUUCCAUUUCCAAUUAUAACAUUUUGGUCAGUCAUAUUGAUUUGUUACACAUGCAGAGGUAGUUUGAGCAAGAGGCAAUUAAUCUAACGAUGAAGUUGCAACAACAAUCCACUUGGAUGCGCAAGGGAAAGCGACCAAGAAUGUCACAAGAUUGCCCAUAUUCCAUCCAUCAAUGUCUUGUAGAUUUAAAGGUCAGGAGGCAUUUCAUGAAUGAUGAAUCUUCCUCUACAAAUGAUGAAUCUUCUUCUUCAAGAUGAAGCAUGAAAUAGUCUACUGCCAAUUAUGUUUAUUAAUCUCUCUGUGCUCCCACAAAUUGCUAUGUUACAAGGUCUCUUCUACAAGGAGGAGUUCCAGUUUUUCUUCAAGUGUAAAUGUUGGAUUUAUUGCCUGCCAGCUGUACAAUCAAUAAGUGCAGUCCAUUAAUAAUCAAUGUAGGGAGAAGAGGUAAUCGUUGAUGCACAUGAUUUUGAAGAAUCAGAGCAAUGUUAUGCAAACUUUGUAGGUUGUUCCUUGAAUGUUGUUAGUCAUUUGAGUUAUUUUUUUUAUAAUUUUCAAGCUUAAUAGUUCCACUUGUCAGUUGCAGAUUCUCGUCAGGUGAAAAACUAAAUAGUUUCAAUGAUCAACCAGUCUUCAAAAUGCUUUCCUGCUUAGCUUUGAGUCAAACUUUGAUUUUCCAUAGCUAACAAAAA